rnacentral:tRNA from 17 species
GCUGCUAUAGCUCAGGGGUAGAGCACUCCCUUGGUAAGGGAGAGGCCUGGGGUUCAAAUCCCCAUAGCAGCACCA